rnacentral:misc_RNA from 1 species
UCCGAGUUGACCCCGGCAGUCUCCUAUGAGUCCCCGGCUUGAACCGCUGGCAACAUAGGACAAGGGUUGCGCUCGUUACGGGACUUAACCCAACACCUCACGGCACGAGCUGACGACAGCCAUGCAGCACCUAGUUUCGUGCCCUUGCGGGAAGAUCUCUUUCAAGAUCGGUCACUAACUUUCAAGCCCGGGUAAGGUUCCUCGCGUAUCAUCGAAUUAAACCAUAUGCUCCUCCGCUUGUGCGGGCCCCCGUCAAUUCCUUUGAGUUUCAAUCUUGCGACCGUACUUCCCAGGUGGAUAACUUAAUGCUUUCGCUUGGACGCGUACAGUAUAUCGCACACAUCGAGUUAUCAUCGUUUAGGGCGUGGACUAC